CAAACUACGGCAUUGCCGUUUAGCGAAUAUAAACUGCAUAACUGUUAUUACGAGUAUAUCUGCUAUAAUAUCGUGUAGCAGCACACGGAUUCUGUAAUACUGUAUACAUAUCACCGGACACCGAUUUCGUCACCCCCGUAAGUUAAGCUCUCGGCUGGAGCUUGAUGGCGGAUACCAGAGACAUCCAUUUUUGUUAAAGAAGCCAGCGGAUUAUUACUCAUCGCUGGGAACAGUCUACAGAUCUGCAGGCAUCAUGGAGAACCAGGCACGGGAUAUGACGCAACGCAAUGGACGGACUACGGCGAGCAUCAGCCCCAGCAGUAAUGGAGCACACACCGCUCAUUCAACCGCCACUCGCUCGUGUUCGGGAUCAGCGCGUCUUUCCGCUUCAUCGGCCGGGUGCGGUUCGUCUGGCCGGCGGAUGGAGGGUUUGGAGAGGAUCUUCUCUGUCUCGUCAUCGGAGGAUUCCACUGGGCCUAAGAUAAUACAAUUGGGCCGAUUACGCUUUAUAAAAAAUUGCUGGAAGAAAUUCCAUUAGUCUGAUCGGGUGGCAGCGACGCACGUUGCCGCUGAACCAUAAACAAUAAUACGGCCAUUUUAUCAAGUGAAUAUAUAGACGGCCAGAUUGCCGCGAUGAUUGAUCGAUGCGCUCCGGGGCGAUUCAUGAUCAUCGCAGCGUAAUUACGGCAUGUAAACAUGCUGUCUGGAAAAUUCACCCGAAUUCCUGGUAAUUGUUGUUUUUAAAUCUGUAUGUUUAUGAAGACCAGUGCUUAUAAAUAAAAGUAAGUAUC